rnacentral:tRNA from 1 species
AAAAAAUUAGUUAAUUUAUAACAUUAGUUUGUCAAACUAAAGUAAAUUUUUAUAAAUUAUUUUUUA